CGUGCACUGGCAUUGCAGCUCAGCUAUGUUAUUGGCCGUUAAAUUAUCCGCUCCCUUUCUAAAUCUGGUCACAGGACUCGACUUUGCAGACUUUGGCAGGGGUGAAUUCCACAGGAUGGAGCAGGGGUGAAGUGCAGGGAGACGGAGCAGCUCACGUGGUGGCACUUCUGUUCCCCUCCUGCUGCAGCUGGGUGCUCACCUUCCCAUUGCCUUCCCUGGCCCUAGAAACUUACUGAAGAUGCACAAGAAAGAAAUUACAAAAUGCUGAUCUCACAGCCUGUCUCAGUAUUUCAUUUUGAUAAUGCUGACCUGGUCUGUUACGAGACUGGUGAAUUGCUUCAUUUUGGUGACACAGAGGGCUUUUAUUUUGAAAACGCCACGACAUCACAGUUUGUCAUAAAGUGAAAUAUAAUGUGAGAAAUGUCAAAUGGCUUCGGAAGCAGCAGCCUGUAAAACACAAGUCAAAUCUGAAUGAAUCAAAAUAAUACAGCGGAUAGAUGCAUUUUGUUUACCAAAAAGGAUUAUUUAAAACAUCACUGAAAUGAAAUGGGACUGAAUGAAUGGCGCUGAAAUGAAAUUCAGCACUUCUCAGUGAUGUUUCCUAGCAUUCCCAGAUUUCAAUGAAACGCUGCUCUGGCUGUAAAUCUGUUAUCUUAAACCUCCUCACUGCUCAGCUCUCACUCUUUUCUAUAGUGACACACUGUUGUCUCAUAAUUCAUUUAACUUGGGAUUUUGUCUUUCUUCCACCGUCUAAAAUACAGAUAGAAUUUCCAAGGUAGUUCUGGACACUCACAAGAUUCUGGUCAAAGAGAGACAGGAUCCUCCAUGGAUUCAUUUCACCCUCACGUGGUGCUUGAGUAUCUAGGAUGAAUCACCUAACAUGGAGGCUGGGAUGACUUUCCUGCAGCUGCCUCAGUUUGCUUGGGAGAACGUGUCUUGCUGAUGUGAGUGGUUUGGGUCACCUGAGGAUGACCCAAUUCCAUGGGCUGGAGCAGAGUGUGACCUGUCAACAACAACAGGACACAGCAAGUCUUCAGCAGGACGGACACCUCCUGGCUGCACCGCAGCACGGAUAGGAAAGGCACAUCUGACACUCAGGGGUGGAUAACAGACAACGUCCCAGUGCACACCUCCCCACAGAUGGAGUAGCUUCACCAGGAGGCUUUGGUGUUGGAUGCAGGAGUCCCUGGGUGUAGACUUUCCAUGU